rnacentral:rRNA from 1 species
UACGGAGGGGGCUAGCGUUGUUCGGAAUUACUGGGCGUAAAGCGCGCGUAGGCGGCUUUGUAAGUCAGAGGUGAAAUCCCGGGGCUCAACUCCGGAACUGCCUUUGAAACUGCAUCGCUUGAAUCCGGGAGAGGGAUGCGGAAUUCCAGGUGUAGCGGUGAAAUGCGUAGAUAUCUGGAGGAACACCGGUGGCGAAGGCGACGUCCUGGACCGGCAUUGACGCUGAGGCGCGAAAGCCAGGGGAGCAAACGGG